CAAGAGCCAGGCGGGAGAACUGCAGGCAAACCAGACCCACAUCUUCCAACCUGCACAUCUGGGAUUUCCAUCUGGAUGGUCCAAGAAUUUUUAUCUGAUGCCAGAUCUCAACUUUGCCAGUCUCAGCCAUGCUGGAGGAGCAGAGAUGCCACAUAAGGUGUGUCAGAUCCACCUGAACUGCCCUAGGAUUGCAUCCAUCCCUCAGGAAAGUCAGAGCAGCUGGCCCAAGGCACACUGUGAACACCUCUGGACAGCGACAACUCCUUUUAUAUUUACUCAAUACUACUUAAAAAUCAUCUGUGAGAGAGAGCUGCCUACGUGAGUUUUCUAGAUUCAACACUGAAGAACAAACACAGCAGGGAGAAGACAAGACCCUCCCAUGUUCAUAGGGAAAACACACCAAAGGACUGAAAAUAAUGUAGAAAAAAAUAUCUGUGACACCCAGCAGGGAGGGAAUUGGGAAGUGCUGAGAAAUAUUAACUCAGCUUCCAGCCUGGAAGUUACUGUGACCUGGCUGGGGCUGUUCAGGGUUUAUAUCCUGCCUCUGGUGUAUUCUGUUUCUUCCCCCUUCACUUUUACAGACCACUGCAGGGAGAAGCUCUUUUGACUAAAAAAUUGUCCUUCCAUUAAGAGUUCAUGAAAAGUGCAUUUGCUUGAAGUCAGUGAGGAAGAAAGAGGAGAGGAGACCAAGGGGAACCUGCCUCCAGCUUUGCCCUGGCAAUACCAUGGUGCUGGGAACCAUUAUCCUCGUGCUGUUCCUGGACACCAGUGUCCACAGCUGGGCUGGCAGGGAGCCCCUCUCCAGUGCUGCUGGUCCAAGAGGCUCAGCAGCAGCAUCCAAGAAAGGCUGGGAGCUGUGGGAAGCACGUGAGCUGCCCCAGCUCCCCCCACUCCUGCUGAUCUGACAGCUCCAAGGGUGCUCCUUGGCUUUAGGAGCUCAGCAUGGAUGGAUGGACACAGGGUGUGUGGGUGGGUGGAUGGAUGGCUCAGAGCACUCAGUGACUGUCCUGCCAAUACCUUUGAUCAAACCUGAUGCAGUUAAAAGUCCCUGGAGCAGGUCAGAAAUCACCUGCAGUGCCCUGGCCAGUUAGAGCCCAGUGUUAGCAGCCUCUCCCAUCCUCAUCUCCAGGCCCAUUUCCAGCGAUCCAUACAGGUCCCCAUCAGUCCUGGCCACAGCCAGCUCCCUCCCAGCCAGCCAGCCAAGGCCAUUAGUGUGAUUACUGGAGGUCAUGAAGUUCAAACCAAAAUGUCAAUUUUCAUUUGGAAGAAUGGUCCCAUUUUAGGAGCAAAGGGAAUUUUUUUUCUCCCUCAAAGAGACCCCGACUGUGAAAUCAUUGCUCCCCAAAGACUUGCAAAUUCCUGGCCAGCAAAAGGUGCCAAUAGCUGCUGGAGCCAAUAAAAAGAUUAACAAGG